rnacentral:rRNA from 1 species
GAUGAACGCUAGCGGCAGGCCUAAUACAUGCAAGUCGGACGGGAUUGGAGAGCUUGCUUUCCAUGAGAGUGGCGCACGGGUGCGUAACACGAUUGUAACCUACCUUGUUCAGGGGGAUAGCCUCUCGAAAGAGAGAUUAAGACCGCAUAACAUUGCGAUUUGGCAGCACAUUGUAAUCAAAUAUUUAUAGGAACAAGAUGGGCAUGCGGAACAUUAGCUAGUUGGUAAGGUAACGGCUUACCAAGGCUACGAUGUUUAGGGGAUCUGAGAGGAUGACCCCCCACACUGGUACUGAGACACGGACCAGACUCCUACGGGAGGCAGCAGUAAGGAAUAUUGGUCAAUGGGCGGAAGCCUGAACCAGCCAUGCCGCGUGCAGGAAGACGGCCCUAUGGGUUGUAACUGCUUUUGCAGGGGAAUAAACCUUGGUACGUGUACCAAGCUGAAUGUACUCUGAGAAUAAGGAUCGGCUAACUCCGUGCCAGCAGCCGCCGUAA